rnacentral:rRNA from 1 species
GGGUCAGUAGGUUGGUCGUGCCACCGGUACGUACUGGUCUCACUGAUUCCUCCUUCCUGAAGAACCGUAAUGCCAUUAAUUUGGCGUUGCGGGGAAACAGGACUGUUACUUUGAAAAAAUUAGAGUGUUUAAAGCAAGCUAACGCUUGAAUACAUUAGCAUGGAAUAAUGAAAUAGGACGAUCGAUCCUAUAUUGUUGGUUUCUAGGAUUGACGUA